rnacentral:rRNA from 1 species
AGUGAACGCUGGCGGCGUGCCUAAUACAUGCAAGUCGAACGGAGUGGCGCACGGGUGAGUAAUAUAUAGCUAAUCUGCACCUUGCUGGAGGACAACAGUUAGAAAUGACUGCUAAUCCUCCAUAGCAAGGGAUGAGAAUAUAUCGUAUCAGCUAGUCGGUGGGGUAAAGGCCUACCGAGGCUAUGACGAGUAACUGGGCUGAGAGGAUGACCAGUCACAUUGUAACUGAGACACGGUCCAAACUCCGACGGGAGGCAGCAGUAGGGAAUAUUGCGCAAUGGGGGGAACCCUGACGCGGCAACGCGGCGUGGAGGAUGAUACUUUUCGGAGCGUAAACUCCUUUUGUUAGUGAAGCGGUACCUAACGAAUAAGCACCGGCUAACUCCGUGCCAGCAGCCGCGGUAAUUC